rnacentral:rRNA from 1 species
AGUAACGCGUGGGUAACGUACCCUGAUCCUGGGAAUAACCCUCGGAAACGAUGGCUAAUACCGAAUGUGGCGAACGACCGGUUGGUCGCUCGCUAAAUGUGGCCUCUUCUAUGCUGCCGGGUUGGGAUCGGCCCGCGUCCCAUUAGCUAGUUGGUGAGGUAACGGCUCACCAAGGCCACGAUGGGUAGCCGGCCUGAGAGGGUGUACGGCCACACUGGCACUGAGACAAUGGCCAGUCCCCUAUGGGAGGCGCAAGCGGGAAUAGUUCCAAUGGGCGAAAGCCUGAUGACGCGACGCCGCGUGAGCGAAGAAGAACUUCGGGUUGUAAAGCUCUGUCAGGAGGGAAGAAGGCUCUACGGGUUAAUAGCACGGUGGAAUUGACAGUACCUCCAGAGGAAGCCCCGGCUAAAUACGCGCCAGCAGCCGCGGUAAUACGUAAUGGGGGCAAGCGUUGUCCGGAUUUACUGGGCGUUAAGGGGCGCGUAGGCGGUUUGUUAAGUCGAAGGUGAAAUCCUCGGGCUCAACUCGAGAAUGCCCUUCGAUACUGGCAAACUAGAGUGCCGGAGAGGAAAGCGGAACUCUUGGUGUAACGGUGGAAUGUGUAGAUAUCAAGAGGAACACCGGUGGCGAAGGCGGCUUUCUGGACGCACACUGACGCUCAGGCGCGAAAGCGUGGGUAGCAAACAGGGUUAGAUACCCUGGUAGUCCACGCCAUAAACGAUGGGUACUAGGUGUCGGGGGUAUCGACCCCUCCGGUGCCGCAGUUAACGCACUAAGUACCCCGCCUGGGGAUUAUGGUCGCAAGGCUGAAACUCAAAGGAAUUGACGGGGCCCCGCACAAGCGGUGGAGCAUGUGGUUUAAUUCGACGCAACGCGAAGAACCUUACCUGGGCUUGACAUGCUUGGGACAGCGCUGGAAACAGCGUCUCUCCUUCGGGAGCCCUUGCACAGGUGCUGCAUGGCUGUCGUCAGCUCGUGUCGUGAGAUGUUGGGUUAAGUCCCGCAACGAGCGCAACCCUCGUUACUAGUUGCCAUCAGUUCGGCUGGGCACUCUAGUGAGACUGCCGGUGAUAAACCGGAGGAAGGUGAGGAUGAUGUCAAGUCAUCAUGGCCCUUACGCCCAGGGCUACACACGUGCUACAAUGGUCGGCACAAAGGGUCGCUAAGCCGCGAGGUGGAGCUAAUCCCCAAAAAGCCGGC